ACCGGACACGGAGAGCAGCGCCCCGGAGCCGAGCCCGAGCCCUGGAAAGGAAACUUGGGUGGGCCUACAUGUUGCCCUGAACGCCGUAAGUGGAAGCAGAGGGUGACUAGACACCAACAUGGCACGGUGUGGCACUGAAGCUGCUGGCUCUGACGAUGAGGAGGGAGGCUGCAGGAGGAGGGUUCUCUCCCUGGCCUCUUGGCAGAGCGCGGCCAGGCCAACACCUGGAUCUCAGCCCUGGGAAAGCAACUGGACUUCUGACCUCCAGAACUCACAACUGAUUGGAAACAACUGAUUGGAAACUGAUUGGAAGCAGUCUCCCCAAGUGCUCUGACUCCCAGUCCCUGUCAUUUAAGACAGAGAAUGCACAGAUGAAGAGCACAGUCUUCGGAACCAGGCUGUCUGGGAUCAAACCCUGGCUCCACUGCCCAAUAGCUGUGUGACUUUGGACAAAUUACCCACUUUCUCUGGGCCUCCAUUUUCUCAUUCGUAAAAUGGGGCAGUGAGGGAACUUAUAUUGUAGGGUUGGGGCGUAAAGCUCACUGCACACAUCGGGCAUGCCCUGCACACCUCCUGUUCUCACCGCCGUGUUCUGCAGACGGGACAGCCUCGGCCCCGACUGUACUGCUCUUCUGCACCUGUGUUUUCUGAGCCAUCAAAAGCAUCUCGAUGCUGGCCGGGUGCAGUGGCUCACGCCUGUAAU